rnacentral:rRNA from 1 species
CACGUAGGGUGCGAGCGUUGUCCGGAAUUAUUGGGCGUAAAGAGCUUGUAGGCGGUCUGUCGCGUCUGCUGUGAAAAUCCGGGGCUCAACCCCGGACCUGCAGUGGGUACGGGCAGACUAGAGUGUGGUAGGGGAGACUGGAAUUCCUGGUGUAGCGGUGAAAUGCGCAGAUAUCAGGAGGAACACCGAUGGCGAAGGCAGGUCUCUGGGCCAUAACUGACGCUGAGAAGCGAAAGCAUGGGGAGCGAACAGG